GAGUCUACAAUGCCGUAUAAUCCAGUUCAAAUUAGAUAAUCUGUAUUUUAUAGGCAGUGUGGAUCAGGCCUAAGUGCACUCUGCUUGUGCCCUGGGUGCCAUUUUGGCUGAGGGAGUUGCUAGGACAUGAAGGGGGUGGGGCCUAAAGGCAGUGGAGCCUACCUUUCUAACUGGCAGUUAGGGGGAGAAAGGCUCUUCCUCAUCCUCUGUAAUUUGGACUAUUUUUCUAGGUUUUUUUAAAAUUGAAAGACAUACCUUGGAUGACUAUGUCUUUUGUGGCCAAAUUUGGUGUGAUUGGGUUCAGUGGUUUUGCUGUUUACUCCAUAAUAAAUUGGCACAUUAAAUUUUUAUAUAUAUAGACUAGCUGUGCCCGGCCACGCGUUGCUGUGGCGUUGUCUGGUGGUGUUGGUGAGAACUUGUUGAGAUAGUGGUAGUAUUGAAUGUCUGUUGUAUGGUUGUCUUUAUGUUUAGUAUGCAUUUGGUUGUUUGUUUACUGUGAAAGUGGUGAGGGUAGAGGGGGUCUAUGUCCCUGUGUAGUAUUGUAUAGUAUUUAUACAUUGUCCAUGUGUUGUGAAUGCUUGGAUUGUGUCCUGCUGCAUGUAUAACAUGAUGUUUGGUGCUUAAUUUGUAUAAUCAUUACCUAAUUCGAUGUUUAAUCGGCUUUUCCUGAAUCCCUUCUUAUUAUCCAACAUAUUCACUUAUCCAAUGUUCUGUCGGCCUGUUUAUGUUGGAUAAGUGAGACUCUACUGUAUAUUAGUAAUCUUAUAUUAUCUGCCUAGAACUGCCCCUUCUACACAGCUGUAUAAAAUGCACACUGAAGUGAAUUAUCUGGCAGUGUGGACUCAAGAUAAUCCAGUUCAAAGCAUUAUCUGAUUAUAAAUGGGUAAUAUAGCUGUGUGGAAGGGCCUUGAGUCUACACUGCCAUAUAAUCCAGUUAAAAUCAGAUAAUCUGUAUCUUAUAGGCAGUGUGGAAGAGGCCUAAGGCCUAACUGUGCCUGUCUCCUGGGCUGAGUAGGUUGCUAGGAAACCAAGUGGGCAGAGUUUAGUCUUGUACCUGGCAGCAAUUGGAUAAAAAACAAUUAUUGCUCUCCCUCUAAUUAGGAUUUUAUUUUUAUUUUCUUUCUGUUGUAUGAACAUAGAGGCAUGGAUGAGGGGUUGUAUUGCCAAGUUUAGUGUUUCUGGGAUGUGUAGUUUUGUUGUUUUGUCCUAGGCCAAUUUUUUUUAUCCAUAGAUAGAUAGAUAGAUAGAUAGAUAGAUAGAUAGAUAGAUUGUGCAUUAAAGGCUUAAACCUUAUCUUUGAUGUGCUCCUGUGUACUGAAAGUAGAUGACCAAUCCCCUGACUGGAAGGCUGGGAGACUAAAGCUGAGAUCUCAAGGGUUUAAAACACUUCACAUGUGCUACAUUUAGCCUGUAGCAUGCUAGCUUGAGCAUUGGACUAGGGACAAAUCUACACUCACUAUGAAAUAUUGCUGUGCAUCAGCUCUCAGGAUUACAGAGCAUUUAACCAUGGAAGUUAAAGUGGUUCAAAUUGCAUUAAUUUUACAUUCUAGAUGCACUCUCUAACACAGAGCAAUGUAUUCAAAAUACAAGAAAAGAGAUUCUAUGUAAACAUUAGGAAGAACUUCCUGAUGGUAAGAACUAAUUGACAGUGAGGUAUGCUUUCUUGGAAUGUGGUGAAGUCGCCUUUUUUGGGCAUUUAAAAAUAGUGCUUUACUUAGGAGAUUUAUUACUAAUCUGUUUCUGUUUUAGAUUAUAAAGAUAGUCAUCAGCCUGUAGCAAAUAGACAUACUUGUCACCCAGGGCUGUAACCAAGGGGGGUGGGGCGGUUAGGGGUUCACCCUCCCAAAUCUUUCAGGUUUUUUUUAACUGGUUUACUCAUGAAUUUUAACUGGUUGACCAAAUCCCCAUGAGUGUCCAUGGAAGUUUAUCUGUCUUGAGUGUCCACUGAAGUUUAUCAAUGAAGCCUGAUUUCUAAAUUAUUUUGCAUUAUGGAACUGCUCUCCAUGAUUCUCUUUGUUCAUCGAGGGAGGCCCUUCUCUUGCUCCCGCCUCCAUUGCAAGCUUGGUUGGUGGGGAUGAGGGAGCGGGCCUUCUCUGUAGUGCCCCCCCCCCCCCCCCGGAUCUGGAACUCCCUCCCUAGAGAGAUCAGGCAGGCACCUACCCUUGCAUCUUUCAAAAAGGAAUUAAAAAUUUGGUUCUUUCAUUGCGCAUUUGAAUAAUUUAGUCCCCAUGACCUAAACUUACAAAUUAAUUGUUAUGGUUGAGCCUCAUGGCUCUACUACUGGGAGACGUGGGCGUAAGACUCCUCGAGAGUCAGAUACUCUCGAGGAGCGAGAAAGGAAGCGACUGCGAGAUAUCUUUGCAGAACCAUCUGACGAGGAUUCUUUUGAGGGGUUUACUGAGAGAAUGGAGGAAGAGAUGGUUAGCUCGGAAGAGGAUGACAUGGAAUGGACUCGUGUAAGGGAGGAUUUGGGUGCCACUGGCAAUGAUAGUAUGGAAGGCGAUUGGGGACCUUCAGGAUUAGACCCGUGGACAAGCUGGAGGGAUGGGACGGGAUCCACAGCUGGGGAUGCUGUGGGGCGUAGUCAAAGGUGUUCCAGUUCUGAUGAGGAAAGUGAUGAGGAAACGCCCGGGCUAAGGAGAACAGCUGAUAGCGAUGAGGACUUGUAACUGGCAUAAAAUGGGGUUUGGGAGCAAUAGCAAAUUGCGUUGGGCAAGGUAAUCUGGACGAACGCUUGGGAUCUGUGUGGGAAGUUUUCCUGAAGACGGGUGUGAUUCGUUUGCUGACUACCUUUGACCUUCCGUCGUCUUCUUGACGGACGCCAUCUGCUUACUCUGGACUUACGGACUGACUGACUACGGCCUCGGAUUCUCCUACCUGUGUCUAUCGUUGGAACUGGUGAACUACAAACGUCUGCAUCUGCCUUACGACCUUCGGAACGGAUUGGGACUUCGCUGACUGCUUCUGCCCUCGUCUGCUGUGUUUGUAUCGGGAAAUUGCCUGCUGUGUGGAGGAGUAACCUCUAAGUUACUCAAACAUAGCUCUUGGCAGCAGAGAAGCAUCUGCUGCCAAUUAGUUGCAUUCCUUUGAACUUUUUGUUCACCAGCUUCUGUUUGUUUAUUCCCAGGCUGAAGCAAGCUGUUUUGAUUUAACCCGGAUUAAACUCCGGUUUAAUCUGGUUUAUCUUUUGAACGUUUUUCUUGUCUCUUUUUACUUUUAAGGCCAGUGUUUGCCUAGCCCUUGUCUUUUACGGGCAUUUUUGGUUCUGUAACUCCAAUAAACUUUGUUAUCUUUUA